UGAUUCAUCUUAUCCAAAACUCCUCCCUUUCCAGCGACGGCAGCGACGGCGGAGCACGAGCAGGUGAGGGGCGGCGCCUUCGUCGGACGGCUAGCCGCGGCGGAGGAGAAGGCGGACGCCAUGGGUGCGGCUACAAACGAGGCGGAGGAGAAGGCGGACGCCGUGGGCUUGCUGCACGGUUACAGCCGAGGCGGAGGAGAAGGCGGACGCCGUGGGCGUUCAUGGAGGAUGGUACGCCGGCCGCCAGUCCUCUCUGGCCUCUUCUGUUGUAUCCUUCUCAACCUCCGCCUGCUCCUAUCGUGAUUUGGAUGGAAAAUUGGAGGCCGGCUGUGUCCUUCUCCAACACAAAUUGAUGUAGUGCCCGACCCGGAUUUGAUUGGCUGCUAUAAGAAGCAAGGGUCCUCGGCCGGAAUCUCCAUCAGUUCGCCGGAGGAACAAGAACGCCCGCCGAGUCCUGUGGUGGCUACACGAGGGGUAUGUAUCCCCUCGAAGCUACGCCACGGCGCGGUAGAGCCUGAAGUUCGUCAAAACUUGACCUGACCGUCACUGACGCCACCUUGCUGCCGCUGUUGCUGGAGAUGAGCUGAAUAGCAAGCUUUGGUUGCCUCUUUGCUUCCACUUUACUGCUCAUCGACUAUCUGUAAUUGUAAAACACCUAAUACGAUUCUUCAGCACUUGAUACUGGUGGUCAUGGUCUUCUUCUCUUAUUGUUGCGAGACUUGGUUUUAGUUAGUAAUCUUGAGAUCAAGUGUACUCAUGGAUUGCUUAGAUGGAGGACCACUGUUGGUUUUGUACUUAGAUGCGAUUGUGAAUCAUGUACGGUUCAAUUCAGAUUCAUGUGGUAUUUUUCCUAAAUUUGUGCCUGCCUGAACAUUAUUACUAUUAAACUAUGAAUAAUGAUUUUUGCAAUUGUAGGAGAAUUUCUUUGCCGCAUCACAAGAAAAACAAUUUGAAACAGAGAACUGUACAGAACCUUCUAAUUAUUGUAUGAACUUGCUUCACUUAAUUUGAACUGCAUAUUUUUCAGUGCAAUUAAGUGCCUGGUGCCACUUGAGAGAAUAAAAGAAUGAUCCCGCAAAAAAAAAGAAUGAUCGGCUAUUUUUUUCACAGAUAUGAUUUAGUCAACACUGAUGUCCGUCUGCAAAAAGCUUAUUCUGAUUUGGAGUUGAUUUUUUUUUCAGGCCCUUAAGAUGAGUGAUGAACAUCCGUUGAGCCGUCCAAUGUUGCCUGUGGCAACUACACCGGAGCCGUCGUCUCCUUUGACUUCACCGCCAUCAUCUCCGUCGACUUCGCCACAAGACAAUCUGCCACCACCUCCGCCGAUUUUGCCGGAAGACCAUCAGCCGUCACCUAGACCUACUUUGGUUCAGAAAAUAGAUGACAACACUGUAACUUAAUAUUACACAGAACAUUGAGGAGGACUUUGAUAACCGACCUUCAAAAAAAGCAAAAAUUUCUGAAUCAAGUGUUCUGGAGCCAUCACCUAUGUCAACAUGUACUCCAGUUUCUGAGUGUUUUGAAUCGAUUGUGCCAAAAUCAGAUAAUUAGAUAGAUCCGUGCUCCAUUGCCAUCACCUCCAUCCCCAUCUAGCUCGACAUUAUCUCAAGAACAUCGGUCGAGCCGUACAAAUGGCGCCUGCAGCGGCUACACCAGAGGUAUUUAUCCCCUUGAUGAAAGCUAAUCACUGCAUGUAAUCCCCUGUUUUAGUUGUUGUUUCUGGCCUGGUUAUACAGGCAGUUUUCAACAGCAGCAGACUAGCAUGCCCAGUCUGAACUUUUAGAAUGUUUUCCCAGUUCAUGUUCAACUUUGAUCCUUUUUUCAGUUAAAGUUCAAAGGAACUUUCCUGUGUGAAUCUGAGAAUCUCACUGAAACUUGUUUCAUUGUGUAUAUUGAGCCUAUCGAGUCGAGUUUCAGACUGAUCGUAGACAGACCUCGGUUUAAGCUGUGAUGCUAAUUUGAUUUGUGUGCUGCACCAUCAUCCAUAUCUUGGAUUUCAAGCAGUUCCAUGGCAAAUCAAAUACAUUUUUUUCUUUGUUUAUGACAGUACAUAUUUGACAGGUUAAAGCAUGUACUGUUGUGAUAAUGAGCACCUUAUAUUGAUAAUGAUCUCCAUUUUGGCUA